AGUCGAGGGGCAGCAUCAUCAAAGCUUGCUUUGAUGGAUGGCGACCGGCGCACGGGUGAGUAACACGUAUCCAACCUGCCGACAACACUGGGAUAGCCUUUCGAAAGAAAGAUUAAUACCGGAUGGCAUAAUUAUUCCGCAUGGGAUAAUUAUUAAAGAAUUUCGGUUGUCGAUGGGGAUGCGUUCCAUUAGGCAGUUGGCGGGGUAACGGCCCACCAAACCUACGAUGGAUAGGGGUUCUGAGAGGAAGGUCCCCCACAUUGGAACUGAGACACGGUCCAAACUCCUACGGGAGGCAGCAGUGAGGAAUAUUGGUCAAUGGACGAGAGUCUGAACCAGCCAAGUAGCGUGAAGGAUGACUGCCCUAUGGGUUGUAAACUUCUUUUAUACGGGAAUAAAGUGAGCCACGUGUGGCUUUUUGUAUGUACCGUAUGAAUAAGGAUCGGCUAACUCCGUGCCAGCAGCCGCGGUAAUACGGAGGAUUCGAGCGUUAUCCGGAUUUAUUGGGUUUAAAGGGAGCGUAGGCGGGUUGUUAAGUCAGUUGUGAAAGUUUGCGGCUCAACCGUAAAAUUGCAGUUGAUACUGGCGACCUUGAGUGCAACAGAGGUAGGCGGAAUUCGUGGUGUAGCGGUGAAAUGCUUAGAUAUCACGAAGAACUCCGAUUGCGAAGGCAGCUUACUGGAUUGUAACUGACGCUGAUGCUCGAAAGUGUGGGUAUCAAACAGGAUUAGAUACCCUGGUAGUCCACACAGUAAACGAUGAAUACUCGCUGUUGGCGAUAUACAGUCAGCGGCCAAGCGAAAGCAUUA
rnacentral:rRNA from 1 species